rnacentral:lncRNA from 1 species
UGAAGCUGCUUCAUCUCAUUCCUGAUUCUAAUUGAUCCCUUCAGUGGUUCGUUCUUGAAUUAGCAACAUAGAACUGGCCCAAAUGGGUUUAAAGUGGUUAGAACUUGCUCAUGACCAGUUAAAAUCUUUUCUCACAAAGAAAAAUCAGUUCUGACCAGUUCAAAUCUAUUUUGACUAGUUUAAACUAAUUCUGCAGAACUGGAGCCUGAGGUCGGUAAACUCAGAAAGAUGGCUGAAGACGAUGCUGAUCCGAGCCAAAGCAAGGAAUCAGGUGUUUCUGGCUAGAGCUGCCAUUCAUCAGAUCCACCAAGAGGAACAGCCAGUCUUCACUGUCUAAUGCAGUGCUUACCACAAUUAUGGAGGCCAAGAUAUGCCACAAUAUUCCAUCUACAAGUUAGAGAACCAGGAAAGCCAGUGGUAUAACUCAUUCCCAGUCCAAAGGUCUGAGAACCAGGAGAACAAAUGUUGUAACUUUUAGUCUGAGGCUGAAGACUUGAGAACCAGGAGAGAAGGAUGUUCUGGUGUAAGUCCUGAAGUCUAAAGGCCUGAAAACUAGAAGCUCUGAUGGGCAGGAUAAGCUGAAAGCCCCAGCUCAAGAAUAGAGAGGUCUCAGUUCAUGAUGGUGAUGUAGGAGAAUCUUGAACUCACCUCCUCCCAUGGACAUACUGAACUUACAGCUACAUAUGGAACAUUUUCCCGUGAAGAAACUCAAAAAUAGCUGAGAAAUUCUUAUAAGUCAAGCAAAAGAGAAAAAAAACACACAUCUAAAUGGCUAAGUGAGGGUGAAAUAGUCUUGUCAUAAACGCCACAACCAGGAAGAAACUCCAAGAAUGUCCCUGAAAAGUGAAGGGCUUGAAUCCCACAUUUGGCACCAAAACUUUUAAGACCUGCGUCUGACAGAUGAACCUGCAAAAACAUCUAGCUUCUGAAGUCAAAGGGGCUUGUGUCUCUUAUAUCCAUAAGGCUGCAGAAAGUUGGGAAACAAUUCUUUAAGGGUUCACAUAGAUUCACCUACAUAUUCCCCAGGACCCAAUACAAAGGCAAUUGACUGAAAUGGUCCCAGUCUUUGUAUGAAAGAGGUUUAUUUUCUUAUCGUAAAGCUUUGACAUGAGAGGCAAGCAUUUACUUUAAUAUAUGACUAGAGUCCUCCUGAAAUACUCUCCAAAGACAUGGAAACCUGUGGGUGUCAUCUUUGCCCUCUCUACCUUGUUCCAGGUCCCUGGUAACUUCCAGAAAGGAGUUUGCAGACACAUCUUAGGUCCAUGAUUUUUGUAGCUGCUGCCCAAAGGAAAUCCCUUGAUUGCUGGCUCUGGUGGCUAUCAUAUCAUAUACUCAUGGGUCCAACAGAACCAUAACAAACAGAGAGUUUUUAACCAGCUAUACCUCAGGGCAACAGAGAGACAAUAGUCUGAAACAUUCGUCUUCUGCGAAAGAUUCAUAUUAGCUUAUCUUCAUGACUGGUCUGAGGGAGAGGCUUGUAAUUAAAGACACAUAUAAGGGCCAACCAUAACCCUCUCCACACACCUCAGAGGGUGGACACUAUCUUUGUGCAUUUCUUCUGCUUCACUCCAGGUUUCCAGUAUUGUCUGAAAAAAAGCUUGUGUACCCCUGUGGUACUCCAGUUUUUAUGGCUGUUUGGCUGUUGUCCACAUGACACAUCCUUUGAUAGCUUGGCUGUGGUGUCCAGUGGCGGGGGGGGGGGGGCUUGUUUUUCCAGGUUCAAUGGGACAGUUGCAAACAAAGAAACAAUUCUUAAAAUGGCAAUCACCUCAAGCCUCAGUGCAGAGGAAGCAGAGAUAAAUUUCCACCUCCUAUUCUUCCCUUGAAAAAGGUAUGUUUGCAUACUUUAAAAGCUGCUGCAUGAGGUUCUGGCUUCAAUCAGCCUGAAUCUAGACGCUGACUGAGAUUCUCCCCUAUGGGACACUGAGAGGUCUUGGCACACUCUUAACUACUGGGAACAAUUAAGAACAAAGUAGGAUGCUUGGAUUAUCACACAGGUUUGAGAAACAAUCAAGAGCCAGGGGAAGGAUGAAUGAUAAGGUUCAUACCCUACACAAGGCCAUUCCUUCAAAACUGAUAGAAGUAGCUGUUUUAUCUAACGCAUACAAAACAAAAUAGAGUUAACAAAAGUGAACAACAGGGGAAUAUGUCCUAAACAAAGAACAAUAUAAAACAUAAGAAAAAGACUAUAAUGAAAUAAAUUGAUUUAUCUGAUAAAUAAUUCAAAGUACUGGUAACAAAUAUACUCACUGAGGUUGGAAAGACAAUACAUGAACAAAGUGAGAAUUUUAAAGAAGAGAUAGAAAAUGUAAAAAAGUACCAAAUGGAAGUCACAUGGCUAAAGAAUACAAUAACUACUGAAAAAUACAGUAUAAGGGUUAAAUAAUAGACUAGAUGAAACAGAAGAAAGGGACAGCUAACUCAAAAGCAGAGAAGUAAAACUCAUC